rnacentral:rRNA from 1 species
UGAUCCUGGCUCAGAACGAACGCUGGCGGCAUGCCUCAUACAUGCAAGUCGAACGAGGUCUUCGGACCUAGUGGCGCACGGGUGAGUAACAUGUGGGAAUCUACCUGAAGGUUCGGAAUAACUGCGGGAAACUGUAGCUAAUACCGGAUGUGUCUGCAAAGAGAAAGAUUUAUCGCCUUCAGAUGAGCCCGCACUAGAUUAGCUAGUUGGUGAGGUAAUUGCUCCACCAAGGCUACGAUCUAUAGCUGAUUUGAGAGGAUGAUCAGCCACACUGGGACUGAGACACGGCCCAGACUCCUACGGGAGGCAGCAGUAGGGAAUAUUGGACAAUGGGGGAAACCCUGAUCCAGCAAUGCCGCGUGAGUGAAGAAGGCCUUCGGGUUGUAAAGCUCUUUCAUCAAUGAUGAUAAUGACAUUAGUUGAAGAAGAAGCCCCGGCUAACUUCGUGCCAGCAGCCGCGGUAAUACGAAGGGGGCUAGCGUUGUUCGGAAUCACUGGGCGUAAAGCGUAUGUAGGCGGAUCAAAAAGUUAGAUGUGAAAUCCCUGGGCUCAACCCAGGAACUGCAUUUAAAACUAGUGAUCUAGAAUUUGGUAGGGGCCAGUAGAAUUUCCAGUGUAGAGGUGAAAUUCGUAGAUAUUGGAAAGAAUACCAGUGGCGAAGGCGACUGGCUGGGCCAUUUUUGACGCUGAGAUACGAAAGCGUGGGUAGCAAACAGGAUUAGAUACCCUGGUAGU